rnacentral:misc_RNA from 1 species
GAUGAAGAACGUAGCGAAAUGCGAUAAGUAAUGUGAAUUGCAGAAUUCAGUGAAUCAUCGAAUCUUUGAACGCACAUUGCGCCCGCCAGCACUCUGGCGGGCAUGCCUGUUCGAGCGUCAUUUCAACCAUCAAGCCCCCAGGGGCUUGUGCUGGGGCCCUGCGGCUGCCCGCAGGCCCUGAAAACCAGUGGCGGGCUCGCUAGUCACACCGAGCGCAGUAGCACAUCUCGCUCAGGGCGUGCGGCGGGCUCCUGCCGUGAAACCCCCCACUGUAACCCCAAAGGUUAACCUCGGAUCAGGUAGGAAUACCCGCUGAACUUAAGCAUAUCAAUAAGCGGAGGA